CUCACAACCGCCGAGGGCCGGGGUAGGGCCGGGGCGGGCCCGGCCGCUUCCUCCGGCCCGCCCGCAGCACCGGGCCCGGCCCGCCGCCAGCGCCGCCCGCGUCACGUGGGGAGCGGCCAUGGCGGGCGCCGGGGCGGGUCGUGUAGUAUCUGAAGAUGGAAUUUCGCAUUGAACACACCUGGGAUGGUUUGCCUGUGAGCCACGAGCCGGUUACAAUUGGGCUGAGGCCGGAUAACGCAGGACUGCUGAUGGAAAUUCGUGCUCCUUUCUUUAAUGACCCUCCAGCACCUCCCGGAGAGCCAGGGAAACCUUUUGGUGGACUGUGGGACUAUGAGGUUGUAGAAGCAUUCUUUCUGAGUGACAGAACUGAACAGUAUUUGGAAGUUGAGCUUUGUCCCCAUGGGCAGUACUUACUGCUGCUGCUUUCUGGCAGAAGAAAAGCAUGGAAAGAAGAACUUCCUCUGGUGUUUGAGGUGACCAGAAGGAAAACCAAAUGGGAGGGUAAAGCUCUUCUUCCUUGGAGUUAUUUUCCACCAUGCAUUGACAAGUUCAAUGCCUUUGCAAUUCAUGGCUCAGGAGAAGAGAGAAAAUACGAAGCACUUUAUCCUGUGCCUCCACACCAGCUGCAGGAAGGACAGGAACCAGAUUUUCAUCGUUUGGAAUUCUUCAAAGACUUGAACCUGAAAGAACUAACAGGAGAAGACUGGAAGCAGCCUGAAUCAGAUAUAUGGAAAUCUCUCACUAAAUGAAUGGGUUGAGGCAUAAAUUUUUAUAAUGUUGAAGUUGGCUGAAGCUGUGUGGAAACAACUUCCUCAGUCUGAGCAGAGGUUGUAAGAUACCAGAUUAGCAAGGCUUUCCUUGGCACCGAAAUCAUGGAUCAGUCUGAAAAUCAACUGCAAAGCAUGUGGAUCUGUUGAUUGUAAAUGUAUGAAUGGCUUGGAGUUUUCCAUCUGUGCAAGAAAUGAAUCUGCUGCUACCAAUGAAGGAAGAAAAACGUGCUGAAAUUGCAGCUGUGCUUUUGUGGGAGCUCUGAAGUCUGACAAGGCCCAAUACCUGGAUUGGAUUUUUUUGGUUUUACUAUAGUUGCUGCAUUUCUGCUGUAUUUUCACUGCUGCUUGUUUGUUUGUUGACUGCUGAAUGAGAUCCUUAUGUGCCUAGAUUUUUUGCUUACAGUCAGGGCAAAGAAUGUAGCUAUUAUGGAUUUUGGAAGCUUAGUACUUGCCGUGCAGGAGGCAUAACGCUGCCCUUUCCUGCAUGUUCCUGUGCCUGAAGUUUUCCCUUGCUUCAUGCUGAAGGGGGAACUUAGUCUGUCUCACAGACCUCUCUGUGGAGUUCCCUAAUGCUGUUUAGGUGCAGAGGAUAGUUUUAUAAAAGGUUUUAUGUAUUUCAGGUGAAGUUUCUGGGACAAAUCAUGCUUCAUAAAAUCUUUUGAUGUAGUUGUGUGCAUGCAAAAGCUUUUUUCUAAGCCUUGUCUCAUCAUUUCAAGAAUUCAUCUCAGAUGUCUGAGGAUUUUUUUUUUUUGCAUGCCACUGAGGGCUGGAGAUACUCUAGGUGUAUAUUUUCUGUGUAUGGCCAUGAGUCAUUUUAAACAAUAGUGAAUAUUCCUAGGUGGCAACAUCUAAUCUGUAAACCCUCACCAGAUUUACAAAUCAUAUGUUCCUUUUUUUUUUUUGGCUAGCAUAGCAAUUGCUGCUUGAUUGUGGCUGCUGAUUUAAUCUUAUUUAUAUAAGCUUAAAAAAUGUGAAGCUUGCCCACUACUUAGAUCCUUGCCAGUAUGCAGGAAUAAACACAUUUUGAUGGUCCUAUUUUCUUUGCUGUCUUUCAGCUUUACUCUAGCUGUAAGUUUUGCCUGAGAAGCAAAGAAGGUGGGAAUAUCCCACCUUUGUGAAGAACAUCUCUGUGUGAAGCUUCGGAAGAGCACAGCUUGAGAGCUGAAUUCUCUGCAGAAUCUUGCUGGGAGCAGGAAUCCACCCCUGGCAGGUAGAAUCGCCAGGGUUUGACUUUGUCAGUGGGAAGUGUUCUUUCUGCCUGGCAGGGGCAGGUUGUGUGAUGGGGAAUGCCCUUUGAUUGUGAGCACCUGCUGUUCCGGCUGGGGCUGUCUUCCAGCCUUGCUGGGAGCAGAGGAAGGUGAUAUUUCCCUUAACACUGCUGCCACUGUGUGCUUGAGAAGGUUCUGUUGACUCAGUGGGAGGCUGACUGGAAAAGGUACAUGGCAGAAGGAUGAAGUGAUGGGUUGAAAGUAUAUAAAAUCAGAUUAAAAAAUCCUCUCGGCAUACAAUAAUUUGAGUUUGGGAGUGUGAUAGGAGAAGCAUACGCUCUCUUUCUUACUCUUUUUUAGGCAUCUACCUAUGUAAAAAGGUCAUUGUGCUGGAUGGAUUGCUGGCUGGAAACACUGCAGCUAUUCUUGUAGCUGGAAAACCAACUGAAGGAAUUGUGUGGUGAUUCCCUGCAGUGGUUUCUCAUUACUCACAGGCUAUACUGGAACUGUGUGCUAGUAGCUGGGGGCAAAGCAGAGCUCCUUGCUGAUGUUCUCAAAACUCUCUUGCUGAGCAAAGAUAGUAAGAAGUGGAAGGAGAAAGCUGUCAGAAUUCAGGGAAUUGGGAAGCUCAGACUAUGCUGUUGUGGGCUAAGUGCAAACCAUAAAUAAAGAGGGAAUGGGAAAUUUCCACAUGUCUUGCUGGUAACAGAUUCAUUCUCUUCAUGCUCUCUAUAGGGUGAAAUGAGAGUACAGCAUAAAUCAUAGAAUUGUUAAGGUUGGAAAAGACCUCUGAGAUUGAGUUUAGCUGUUAAUGUAGCAGUAUCCCAUGUCCCCAGGUGCCACAAUCACACAUUUUUUGAACACUUCCAGGGACUGUGGUGAUUCCACUACUUUCCAGUACAGCCUGUUCCAGUUUCUUUAACUGGGCAGACAGUUCUGGUUCCUGACUGAUCACCCUCUCAGUGAAGUUCACAUGAUGUGUGUUGUUCAGUGGAGUGUAGGAUCAUAUAGUCAUAGGCUAGAAACUAAAUAUAAAAUGUAUAAGGCUGCAGAGCACUUGAUCACCUCUGAACUCUUGAGUAGUUGAUGCAACAAUGCCUUUCUGUGCUCCUUUAUAUUCUUGGAUGGAUCCCUUCAAUCACCUGUGCAGGCUCUUUUGUGCUGAAGACAAUAGGUGAAGUGUUACCAGCCUGUAUAUCAUAAAUCACUGUUCAAAUUAAUGUCAGUCUUAUUUCCUUAUAUUCUUAGAUAGGUUUGACUAUCUUAUUUGUGUUUUUAAAUUGUUGAUAAAAUCUGUGUACAAAGCAAGAGUCAAGUCUUCCUUGAAGGGAUCUCAUACAUCAAGCUCUGUCAGAUUAUUGUUAAUACUGUUCUUUGAGUAGGAAGUGGGGACUAUAUUUUAUCUGUUCAGAUAUUGUUGAUGAGAUGGUCAUUAGAGAAGGCUUUGGCAUGAAAAAUGGUUUUGGAUUUUAAGUGCAGGCUGCUGCCUAAAGGAGACAUCUUUAUCUUGCCAGUGCUUUUGGCUUGACAUGUCUCUUUGUGUAGAAUUUUUCAAGUCACAGAGUGAGUCAUUACAGACAAGGGGAAUUUUUUAAUAUACUGAAAUAUCCUUCAGACUUGAGUCCAUUUCCACAUGCUGCACCUCUGAAGUGUCAAGACUUAUUCAGAUUUAACAUUUAGGAUUGGAAAAGAAUGUCUGAGCUAAUGAGAAGUGGAUUUUUUUUCUUUUUAUUUCUGCACCUGUUUAGGUAUAACAGAGAAGCAAAUGGACUGCUUUCCAUAUCAGUUAGUCUGUGUAUUUGAUGCUUGUGUGAGGCCCUCCAGAUUAAUUAGCAGGUUUAGUAAAUGAUACAGGAAAGACUAAUCACAUUCUGCAUGUGUUAGCUUCAGAGUGCCAAGUCUUUGCUUUCAUCCUCCUGAGUCUACAAUGCCUGAAGUGCUUCAAAUCCUGAUGGCCUUGCUUGUAAGAUCUGCAAUUUAUCUGUUAAAAUGAGGGCUAUUGCACAGAUUCUGUAUCACCUGCACUGACUGACUGCUUUGUGCUCACUGUAAUGCAAUGUGCUGAGUAAAUAACCUCUUUGGUUAUUAACACCUUCUCCCUCUGUGAUUCAUAGACGUAUUCUGAAAGUCCUCUUAGUUUUCAACCAUGUCUGGGAAUUUUUUUCUGAUGAAAUCUGUUUUUUUCCUGAUUAGCAAGACCACAAAAGCCUCAGUGGAGAAGACCUUUGUCUGAAGAUCUGUGCAACUUCUCUCCUUUCUGUCUUUAGCUUGUGUAUCAACACAUCUCAAAAUGUUGGUUUAGCCAAAACAGCCCUUAAAAAUUGCAUUUUAGUCAGAAGAAUUCUCUGCUCCAUAUGAACUUAAUGAAACAUCUGUUUUUUUUUCCUCCACUUGUGAAAAGAUAGUUUAAUUAAAAAUUGAUGGUGCUAAUUGACAAAUGUGAUGAUUCAUUUAAACUGUUAAAUAUACUGCUAUUAAAAUCAGUCAUUUCUAAGUACAAGUUAAUGGCUACUUUAUUAGGACUACUAAUUGCCUAGUUUUUCAGCAGAUGGAAUGAAUCUAAUUAUGGUCAUAAGGACUGGAUUGUUUAAAAAUAAAUUGCAGGUAUUAUGCAAAAUGAGUUUUUUGGUUUCCUGUAGGCCACACAGAGGGAGACAGUUUUGAGAACAAGUAAAAAGUAAGGAAUGUUUUCCCGUUGCCUCUUGGAAGAUUCAGGUUUGAAAGUUAAAGUGUUAAACUGCCUGUGUCUUUUCUGACUUAGCUAUGAUGUUCCCUAAGCCUUAUCAAGAGUAGAAUUAAUUGUGGGUGAUUGUCUCUUAAGCAUCUAAUUAGAACAUCCUAAUUAAAAGGUGUUUUGUGAAGCCUGCUUUCCAUUGGAUUUGUGUUCCAUGUUCCCUGAGCCCUUCUACUGCAUUAGAAAUCACCUAAGUAUCUCAGGUCUUGUUAGAAGAGUUUGUAAUUGCUGUCAGACUCUGAUUUUGCUGAGUAUCAAUCACCAGCUUCACACAGGAGACUACAGGAGUAUGUUGAGAUUUUAUUUCUUAAGAAUAACUUUCUUUGCUUGUGCACCUUUCAGUAUGUGCUUGCAUUUGGUAUCUUAGCUGGUUUUCUGAAGCUUUUCACAUUUGCUUAAGCUCCAUUAGCACUGGUAUUGAAGGCUGUUUCCAUAUCUCCUGGUGAAAGGUUGGCAGAGUCUCAAGUGAUGUGUGGAUCUGAAAGGCUGGGUGUUAAAAGCCAUUGCACACUGGAAGAGCUCUAAUUUUGAGGAAACAAAUGAUGCCACCUGUUACCCAGUCUGGAAUGCUGCUACUUGUGAUUGGCUAUGUCAGGCCCGAAGUUCCACUGAGCCCCCCCUGUCCAGCACAGUUCUUUGGAAUCAAGUUGAGUUUGAAAACUGAAACCAGAAAAGUCACACCACUUUCUGCAAGGGGCACAGGAGAGAAUCUGUGGUAGAUGAUGAGAUUGUAAUUUCAAAUGUCCACUCUGGCUUUGUUAAAUCAGCUCUGUUGUUCCCAGAAAACUCCGUUAAAUUUACCUUGCUGUAAUGAUUUGCAUGUUGGUUGGAUUUAAAGUCUGCAAGCAUUUAGACUGAAUCAAAUUUUGGCCAAAUUCUGAGACUUGCUGGGCAUCAUCUGAAUCAUCUUGUGAUCAGUAAAAAGUGCAAUCUAGUAGUCUAGUAAUUGUGGAUUUUUUAAUUACGUAAAAAUAGGUGAGAACCAUAAUGGUAAAAUUAAUUUCUCUAGUAUCUCUUCUUUUAAUCUUUUUCCUAAUUUUUCAUAUGCAGAGAGGUUUUCCAAUUGACCAUUGUUGUUCUUUUCAACAUCUUCUGUGAUCUUUAUUUCCUUCUGGUUUCUAAAACCUGUAAAUUUCAUUUAAUUUGUUUUACUGAGCUAAAAUUAGGCACUGAAAUGAUUCCCCUUGAGUAAUAACAGGAUACCUCUGUACCCCUUGGCUCAGGUUAUCCAAUAAAACAGAAAACUGUUCUGUAUCUCUUCAUAUUCAAGUUUACACUUAAGCUCCAUGAAAUACAGAGCUCCAUGAAAUACAGAUUUUCCCCUAUUAAUUGGCAGAAAGUCCAACUUCACUGUGGCACAUUGUGCAGAAUACAAACAUGUUUUUUUUUUUCAGUAGCUCAGACUUUCAGUUAACUGCACACUUAAUAUUUUUUGGGGUAACAGAAUUUCUUUUCCAACAAAGUAGCUUGAUCUCAUCUAAAGUUUUGUUUUUUUGUUUUUUUUUUUUUAAUAUCCUUUAACCCUAGAUUUAUGUGGGGGUACUUUUAUGCAUGUCUGUAGCAGCUUGCAUCUGUGCAAGAACAUCAAGUGAAUAAAAGUGAAGCCCACUGCUCUUAUAAGCACAUAAAUAUUUGUCAUCCACCACUUUCUGUCCUAAUGGGUAGCUCUUAGGUUGUUGCAGGUACUGUAACACCUAAACAUGCAGUAACCAAGGCUAAAGAAGAGAGUAAUUUUCCUGAUUUAUCUUAAUGUUUUAUAUUUGUCUGUGGUUAGAGAACACUGUUGGACAACUUCAUGAUUGUUCUUUGUUUUUAAUGAGACUUUGAGAGAGCUGUAGAAGAGAAAAGGUAUUAGCUUUAUGAGCACUGUCCACAGUAAGAGUGAAUUAAACAUUGAAAAGCAGUUAUCUUUCAGGGUGGUAGUGGUUUAGACAUGGCUAUCUUGACCCAAAACACCCCGCCCCCACCCCCCCACACACUAUUUUGUAAGUUUAAAACAUAGAAACUAAUCUGUACCCUUGCAUCAGUGUUUGAUUGAAAAAUCAGUGGUUUUCACUUUCGAAAAGUUCAAAUGGAAAAACUGAUGGUACCACUUAGUGCUUUGAUAGAAGGCCCGCACUUCUCAGUUUAUGUAUAGACAGGGCAGAUUUAGAUUAAAUGGAAGGAAGAAAUUCUUCACUGGGAAGCGGUGAGGCACAGGAAUAUGUUGCCCAGAGAAAUUCUGGGCGCCCCAGCCCUGGAAAUGUUCAAGGCUGUGUGGGAUUGGACUUUAGGCAACCUGUCUGUGACAGAGGUCUUGGAAUGACAUGGUCUUUAAGAUCCUUCACAACCCAAAUUAUUCUGUGAUUCUCUUUUCAUUUAUUCAUUGAAAGCUUUUGCCACCUAAGAAGAAUGAAUUCUACGCUAUUUAAUGGGAGUGGAAGAAUAUAUAACCAUUUCAUCCAAUACCUAAAGAAGAGAUGAAACUGGUUCACAGACCUGAUUGGUGAGUAGGAACAGUUUCUUUUUGUCAAAAAAAGCAAGACUGGGCUUUAAGACCAAUGUUAGGUUCUUUUUCCUUUAGACUUUAAUGUGUUUUGGGUUAAAUUCAGAAUGGAAUGUCAUCUGGAAUAGGACCUUUCAUCUAAUGAGAAUACAGAGCAUCCUUUUAAGUUGAUUAUUUGCAUACAGUUACAAGGAAUGAGUGUUUUAGAGGAAAUACAGAAUGUAUAUACAAACAACUGGCAGAGAAUAUAUAUAUAUAUAUUUAGCUGUAUUCCUUAUGCAGGGGAACCCAUUGACUUCAAAGGUCCAGGGCUGAUUUACAGGGCACAGUGGCCUUGGUUUCAGAACUUGAGCAGAAUGCUGUUGGAGACAAAACUACUGUGGGAGCUUUUCCUUCAUUUUAAGCUUGAUUGUUCCAUAGAAUCUCAGAAUUUUAUGGCUCCCUGAAGGACCCUAGGUGGUCUCUGGUUAACUCUAUUAGAACACCAUUUCCUGCUCUGUCCCAGUCAAAAAAACAUAUUUAUGCUGCUUAAAAAAAAUUAGUAUUUUGAUGUGUAGCUACCUGAUUGGUAGGAAUAUAAUAGCAUUUACAUUUGUAAUGUUACACAAUAUUACUAUACAAUUGUUAUUCUACAAUUCUGGUUUGGUUAAUGCCAAUUAACUCCUUAUAAUUACUUGCUACGUUAACUUAAAACCCCAUUGCAUUUGAAGCAAAAUUGAAUUUUGCUGCCCUGAAAUGUGUGUCCAAUACACAGCAGUAGUUGGCAAGAUACAUACAAGGCCUGGAGUACUGUGGUAGACUUCCAAGUGGCUUCAUAUGAAAGCCAGAGACUAAAUUCUGGUUUCAUCACACCUAAGAGAAUUUAAUUUUUAAGUGGAAAUUGUUAGUGGAACUGAUAGCAUUUACUUGCAGAGUGUUUGCCUGUUCCUUGUUUUCAUCACUAGUUGCCAUUUGGUGUAUUUGAAAAUGUUAAGUCAAAAAUGGAAUGUGGGAGGGAUCUGGGAGCCAACUGCUUAACUGCUGUGGAUGCAGAUAAAUCAGUUCCUACUGUCAAGUAAUGACUGAAACUACAUGAAAAUAAACAUCUGAUCCGGCUUGUUAAACUGUGUUGUCUCAUGCUGAAAAUCACAGUCAGGCAAACGUUCUAAGGGGCUACCCUUGAAUACUUCUUGUGUUUUGCCUUGAUUGUUUUAAAUUCUGACUGUGGAGGCAUAAGCGGGGCUUUAAACUUCUCUGCUUGGGCACAAAAAACUUUCCUGAAACAUUCCCUUAAUGGAAAAUACUUGAAGUUAUUUUCCCCAAUCUUCUAAGUAGUGAUGGUAUUUGUAUUAAAAAGCUAUAGCUUUUUCUCUCAAAUUCAGAGAUGUGGUUGUUCAUGUUCUGUUACUACUAUCUCUAAACCCAUUAUUUUUGUGUCUAUUUUGAACAUCUCUUUAUGUAUAAAAUAACUGCUACCAGCUUACCCUUUCUUUAACUGGAGUAAAAUAAUUUUAUGGAGUAAAAUCACUUUCUAGAACAUCAGAUCAUUUUGCCAAACACAAUUUUUGUUUUUCACUAGUCAAAAAAGCUGCUGCAACUUCUCACCUUGUAGGAAAGGACUCAGAGCUUUGUGAGAGCCACAGUUAAUUUAUAGCCAUGAUGUACCUGUUCCUUUUUGAUACAGAUUUUGACUUUGCAGGUUUUCAUGCAGUGUGUUUCAGGGUGGCUCUUGGGAGUGAUCUUGUGACGCUGCUAAAAUUGGAUUACUUCCAGUGGCCAAAAUGGAAUUCCCUCUAAUGCGAUUUUCAGAACCAUGGAGAGACUGCGCAUAUUCCUCACUGUUUGUAACAUGCAGGAAUAUUACAUUUACUGUGUACAAAUUAAUAGCUACUUCAAAUUCUGGUCACAUCGGAAAGCAAGUGAAUUCUGUCUAAAAUAGAGGAAAAGUAAUUGAGCCUUUUGACUUCCAAAAGCUUCCUAGGAAAAAAAACCCUGGGUGAAGGAAUUGUGUUCAGAGAAUGUGAAUGCCGCACCUGUGCUGAUCUUCUCUGCAGAGAAAGAAUCCAGUGAGUGGUACAGCCCAUUUCUGCCAAGCUUGAAUUGGGUCCUGCAACACAUCCCUUCUCUGUAACAGAGUUGGAUUUUAAUCUCCUGUUUGAGAGAAGUUGAUUUCCAUCAUCUACCUCCUUUGCUGCCAUGAGAAAAAACUAUGGGAUACAUGGAUAUGGAUUCUGGGGGUGUGUGACAUUUCAGCCACAGUUGUGUUU